UGGGGUGGAGAGCUAGAGAGAGAGAGAGAGAAAGCGAUUGCCGGGAUAGGCCGUGACGUCAGCGGAGCAGCUGGCUGGCAGCUCGCGCCCCGGCGCUGACGCCAGCGAGGAGGAGCCCGCGAGGCAGCCGCGAGCCGUCGCUGUUUUGUUUUCAUUCCCUCCCCCCUCCCCCCACUCUCGGUGUGUGUGUGUCGCGCGCGCGCCUCUCUCUCUCUCUCUCGCGCGCGCGCACCUGUGGAGAGAGGCGGUUGAGGAGAAGCAAAAGUGAAAAAGGGGUUUCUUUUCUUUUCCUUUUAUUAUUAUUUUUUUGAGGCAAAUCCUUCCGUGUAUAAGCAAUACAUUAAGCCUCGUGGGCCCUCCGUGUAUGUAUAAGCAUCAAGCAAGGAGGAGAAGGUAUUUUCCCUUCACCGCAGAGGGCCGGGCGAGGCGUGACGUCCCGCUGUGCGUGGAGGCCGUAAACGUCCGUGUUUAUUGUUAGUUUCCUGGUUGCUAUUUGGAGCCGCGGAGCGUUUUUCCUUCUCGAAGGCUUCUUUGAAGAGAGAGAGAGGAGGAGAGAGGGAGAGAGACUGACUUCCUCGUCCUCUCUCCUGGGUGAACUGCACUGUGAAGAAGUGCAGUGAUGUCAGGAAAUGAGGUCAAGCAAAUGUAGACAAGGAGCGUAUUGUUUGACUAGCAAAGAAGAAAUGAUGACAUCCCACAUCCCAAAAACCCCCCACUAGACUACAAGAAUACACCGCUAUGCUUCUUUUUGCUGUACCAUCUGAAGAGAUUAUAAUUAUUAUCAUGGUGGAGGAGAUUUUUCUAAGGCUUUCCCUUAGGAAGGAGGAAAGAAGAACAAAGUCAAAGAACAGAAGAGGAAGAAGUGAAAAAUUAGGAGAAAGAGGAAGGAGGAAGAGGAGAAGGCAGAAAGAUCUGGUUUUGAUACUUGGGGACAUGCUGUUACCCGCACGACUAUAUUGACAAUUGUAUAGCAUUGUGAGAAAAAUAGUAAUGCAUGUGUGAUAUUUUCCUUCUGUUUCAUUUCUAUCCCUCCCUUUUGGUAAUGUAAUAGUCCUUGGCUGAAAGUUAGACCUAGCAGAGCAAGGUGAGGAUAUGCGCAUCUGUGAAAAGCACAGCCUGCUUCCCUGUCCUCAAGUCACCUCAUUGCUGCUGGGCAUUGCAGGAGACUCGGAGCUGAAGUCAAAACCUGAACAGCUGCCAGGUACAGCAUGUCAUUUUAAACAUGAGGAAAAUAUGGCAAAAUAAUACAAGCCUGUUCCUGCAGAGUUUUCUCACACAAUGCUUCUUCUGAACUUGGUGGGAGUUUUUUGUGUGUGAGGUAAAAUCUUCAAAAUAGGGUUUGGCUAGACUAAUUCAUAACCUGUGCCAUCCAGAGAAUGCCAAAGACAUGUGUCUUCACUUCCAGGAUGAAAGUCUUCUGUUUUGCUUUUGUAGCCUUAAGAACAUCAAGAGGUUUGCUAGGGUUUUUUUUUGGUUAAUUCUUUGAAUGUUGCUUAAUUUCUUUUAAAUAAAUAUCUCCUGUGCAACCGAAAUCAAGAAAAAAUCCAACUGAAAGGAAGAGGAAACACAUUCAAAGCAAGACAUUUCAUUCCAAGUAAACAGUGUUUUUAUAAGCAAGACAGAUUACCUUUGGGCUUCUCUUCUGCUAAUGAGGUGUGAUUAUUGUUAGCACAAAGAAGAGUCCAUGAUGCAAUGGUCAGUGUAGGCUUGUAUUCAUAUUACAAGGAAGCAACAAAAAUUCCUUUAAGUCUCAUAGAAGGAAAAUAGACUUCAACAAUACAAGCCUUUUCAUGUUUACGUAGAGCUACGUCCCAUUGUAUUUCAAGGAAGCAUGUGCAUGACAGCCUUAGAAGAACACAGUACAAUGUAAUAAAGUUUCAGUAUCCAAAAAAUAGAGGCAGAUUGGCAGAAGUCUCAAAUGUUUCCUCAGAAAACAUUUAAUGCUGUAAUGUUUGUGCUUUGUUAUGGAUUCUCCGGUUUCCUUCUUUCUCUCUUUCCUCAUCUUUUUACUCAAUGUAGGAGGUUGUUUGCAAGGCUUUUAUUUGAGCAGUUUAGAGUAGUUGCCGUAUGUAAGAGUUACCCACGCAUGUGAAGCAAUAUGAGAACUGUAUAUGAGAACCUUCAUGUUUCUUCCAGCUUUUGUGAUUGAUACCCUAUCCAUGUAUUAAUAAUCCCAUAGAGAACCUGUCAAGUGACUCUCAUAUAUGUUGGAUAUAUACUGCCCUAUAAUGCAGUUUCAGAAUGCAGAUUUCAUGCAUUGAACUGAAUUGUACAAAUCUCCACUGCUAUAUAAUCCAUUUCAAUGCAGUUAGUCUACACUGUAUUAUAUGACAGUAUAGAUCUAGCCGUAGUGGUUAUAAGAACUCUGGAUAGUAGGAAACUGACCAAAAUUGCAGUGAAAUGAAGCCAACACAAAUUUUGCUUUGUUUAGCUCCUCUCUGAGACUAAGGGUGCAUCUUCACUGUAGAAUCAAUACCACUUUAACAGACAUGGCUCAGUGCUAUGAAAUCAUGUGGUUGUUGGUUUAGAAGGUCUUCUCAAAGAGUGUUGGUGUCUCUCCAACUCCCAGGAUCUGAAGAAUGGGGCCAUGGUAGUUAAACUGGUGUCAAACUGCAUUAAUUUUACAAUGUUGAUGCAUGCUGUAGUAUGCUGUAGUCCUUUGAGUGUUGGUCAAGACACCCAGGAACCCAUUCACACCAUAAUAAUAAUGCAAUAAUUCCAUUUUAACUGCUAUGGCUCCAUCCUAUGAAAUUCUGAAGUCUGUAAUUUGGUGCAACACUGGAACACUCUGGAUGAGAAGCCUAAAUACCCUUUCCUCCUCUGCCCUUCCCAGGAUUCAUAGGACAGAACCAUGGCAAUGGAAGUAGAAUAACAGUGCUGUAAUGUGGAUGGGUCUCAAGGCUCAACUAUGGAACUCAGUUGAGUGAACUGGGCAUUUCUCCCUCCCAGCUUCAGUGGAAGGCAGUUGCAAAUCUUUGGACUAAAUCUUGCCUAGGAAAUUCCAAAGAUUAGACUAACGUCAGUUGCAGUUCACUUGAAGGCACAUAAUAAGGACAUGCUCUGCCUUGCAAAGCUAGUCGUUCUUUGUCUGCAUACAGUUUAUUAUUAUUAUUAUUAUUAUUAUUAUUAUUAUUAUUAUUAUUAUUGACACAACAACAUAAUAUGACACAGCAAAUUUUAUAUAUAUAUAUAUAUAUACACACACACACACACACACACACACACAGAGUAGAGUCUCACUUAUCCAACAUAAACAGGCUGGCAGAAUGUUGGAUAAGCAAAUAUGUUGGAUAAUAAGGAGGCAUUAAGGAAAAGCCUAUUAAACAUCAAAUUAGGUUAUGAUUUUACAAAUUAAGCACCAAAACAUCAUGUUAUACAACAAAUUCAACAGAAAAAGUAGUUCAAUACGCAGUAAUGCUAUGUAGUAAUUACUGUAUUUACAAAUUUAGCACCAAAAUAUCAUGAUGUAUUGAAAACAUUGACUACAAAAAUGCGUUGGAUAAUCCAGAACGUUGGAUAAGCGAGUGUUGGAUAAGUGAGACUCUACUGUAUAUAUAUUACAAAAUCACAAGUCAAACACUUCCCAAGCGUUUAGGACUGUGUGAUGUAUUUUCAGAUGAUGCGCGCAGAUCCUAGUAAGGUGGCCUUUUGCAGUUGACAGAUCGUGAUUUUGACAAUGAUUAUUGUUUCCAAAUGCCAGCUGAGAUCUUUUGGCACGGCUUUCAGUAUGCCGAUUACCACAGGGACCACCUAUACUGGUUUAUGCCCCCUCGAUGGGUGCCACCUUGUUGUGGUGUGUGUGUGUGUGUGUGGGGGGGGGGGGAAGGCUUAACUGCUCCAAGGACGCUGAAAGCUGUGCUGGUGGUAGUGUAACUUCCGGCAGGUUCAACCAAGCCAGAGAGGUCUCAGUUGAGGAGUGGAACUAAGA
ensembl:lncRNA